CACGUAGGGGCAAGCGUUGUCCGGAUUUAUUGGGCGUAAAGAGCUCGUAGGUGGUUUGUCGCGUCGUCUGUGAAAUUCCGGGGCUUAACCUCGGGCGUGCAGGCGAUACGGGCAAUACUUGAGUGCUGUAGGGGAGACUGGAAUUCCUGGUGUAGCGGUGAAAUGCGCAGAUAUCAGGAGGAACACCAAUGGCGAAGGCAGGUCUCUGGGCAGUAACUGACGCUGAGGAGCGAAAGCAUGGGUAGCGAACAGGAUUAGAUA
rnacentral:rRNA from 1 species